CCUUCCUUCUUUCUUUCUUUUUUCCUUUCCUUCAUCCCAGUUGUUCUUUCCAGAGCAGCUACACCAUUUUUCAUUCCAAACAACGGUAUGUAUGGAUUCCCAUUUUCCACAUCCUUACUUACUAUUAUGACUUCUUCAUUACAGUCAUCCCAGUAGGUGCAAAGUGGUCUCUUAUUGUGGUUUUGAUUUGCAUUUCCCUGAUGACUAAUGAUGUUCAGGAUCUUCUCACAUGCUUAUUGGGCAGUUGUGUAUCUUCUUUGGAGGAAACUCUAUUCAAAUCCUUUACUACCCUUUCUAAACGUGGCUAUCUCUUUCUUAGUGUGUUGUAAGAAUUAUUUAAAUAUUUUGUAAAUGUUCCUUAUCAGAUAUAAGGUUUGGAAAUAUUAGUUCCCAUUCUGUGGGUCAUGUUUUCACUUUCUUGAUGAUUUUCUUCACAGCACAAGAGUUUGUAAUUUUCAUGACGUUCAAUUUAAUUUUUGUUGUUGUUUAUGCCAUCAGUGUCAUUUCUAGGGGAGAUUUGUCUAACCCCAUAUUAUGGAUAUUUAUUCAUUUUGUCUUCUAAGAUUUUUAUAGUUUUCGCUUCUCUGCUUAAGUCUAUCAGAAAUUUUAAGUUUAUUUUCGUGUACAGGUAUGAAGAACGCCAUAUGUUCUCAGUAAAUAUCUCCUUUUUGCAAUGAGUCGGCUCUAUCUGUUUGAAUCCACCCAAACAGCUAACACAGACUUUUGAAGGGACCUUUAAUGAGGUAUGGAUGCUGACAGAAAACAUCUCUGGGGAGGAGAUGUCCCUUCACUCCUUUUCAGGUAAGUCAGUAUCUGAUUUUGAUUUCAGGCUGAGCAAAGGCUUUUGAAACCACCUGAGUGUGCCAAGAAGGAAUUUACUUGGUGAAAGCAGCUCCACUGGGUAUGAAAGAGGUUAUACAAAAGUAAGUUGCCCCAUGUAGUAAUCAUGUUUUUAAAAGGGCAGGUCUGAGGAAGCCACCUAAUUGGCAAAAGAAAGUCCAGCCCAGCAAUUAGAGAACACCACCCACACAGCUUGGAUCGAUCUCAUCUGGCUGUUUUCCUACAGCAUGAAAAAGAAAUCAAAACAAUCAGACCAUUUUUAAAUGGAAUAAAACAUUCCAGUGCAAGCAAUAAUUAGGAGAUAACUACCCUAUUGGCUGCUUUCCACAUCAACCUCUGGCCCCUGCUUCCAAGCGCACCUGAGACAUGCAAUUAUCUCCGAACCUCCCUGCCCAGGAACUGCACUCCUGUGCACCCUGUGGCCCUCCGCCCAGGAGCCCUUCUCCCCAGCUUUUCCUAGAACUCAUUUGUCCCCUUGGUCAGUGAUACCAGACAACCCAUUGUACCGGAGGCCAUAUGCUUCUCUCUGCUUCUUGGAGAAACACGUAGCGUACCAUCUAUUUUUAUUAUCUCUUGCUGCUGACAGUUUUCUUCCCAACUCUAGAGCAAGGCAUUCAAAUGCUCUGGCACUGAAGCUUUGAAGAUGGUCUUUUGCUUCCUUCUAGAGGUAUUUAGGUGGUGGACAGGCACUCUGGCUAGAGAGCACAGAAUAUUGGUGCAGAAGGGAAUCUUCUCCCUCCCUCCCUUCUGAGAUAUGAACAGCUAAUAGAAAGGGCUUUUCAGGAUCAGAGCUAGUCAAGGGCAGAGCUGGAAUUUGAACACAACACCCUUAACUAUUCAAAUCCAACACUCGUAACAGUAUUUGAUUCUGUACAAUGUGUAAAGGACACAUAAAAUUCAACAGUGCUUUUUCUGUGUCUGGGAUUUAUCUGCAAUUUCCCAAUGUCCCUGCAGAUUCCAGGCAGUAGACUCUUGACCUUUGUGCCUUUUGCUCCUAUUUCCUCUCUAUCUGUAGCUUUUUAGAACUGUACAGGCCAUAUAACUGAGGGCAGCUUCCAUGAAGCUGAGAAAAACAAGUUUGGAUGCUCCAGCAUAAAUCUCCUCUGAGAACAUUACUGCUCACCUUAGCUGACUGUCACAGCCUGAAAGCAGAUGUUCUGUUACACCUUAAACAGGGCUUCAAAUGCCCAACACCCAGUACUACUCUUAUCCAAAAGAAAAGCUCAGGGUCCCAGAAACCCAUAGAAUUUCAUUUCAGCUUAUCUUUGUUAGCCUCCAAAAGUUUGGAUUCUUUGGAGACAUGGAUUUUGUGGAUAGAUAAAUAACAGCAGUAACAAUGCCAGCUAACAUUGCUUGGCUUCAUCCUACCUGGCCUGCACUGUCCUCAAUGUUGUAUAGAAAUUAGCUCAGUUGAUAAAACAACUCUACAAGGUACAUGUAAGUCAUUUUACUGAUGAGGCACCCACAGGUUAAGAAACCUGUCCAAGAUUACAUAGAUAGUAACUGGUAAUGAUUUCACAGAAUUCUCAGCUAUCUGGGACUUUCAGUGCAAAAGAUAAUGAUGGUGGGUGGUGUGUGGCCCACACAAAUUCUGCAAAUGGGAAAGGAAUGUGGUAUCCAUUUGGAUCAUCUCACUAUAUUUUAAAGCUGAAACAAGAUCAUUGAAUAAUAAGAUGCUUUCAGCCUGUUGCAAAACACUGUGGAUCCUACUGGAGUUGAUGCCAACAGAAAUGGAAUAGAGGGUGAGUGUCCCAUCGAAUGUGCAAGAUUAAAUUUACCCAACCCGCUAUAGAUUACAAAUGCUGACCAGUCAAAACUAGUUGGAGAUGCUAUCUGGGUUUUGGCAGGUAGUCCUUGGCAGCCGUGUGAAUAAGUAUGAGAAACAAGUGCUAAUCUUUUUCCAGUUCCAAUUAGGUUACUAGCCUUGAGACAUCUUUAUUACCCAAUUAUCUUUUUCUUUUCCUCUCAGUACCUGAAGAGAUAGCCUUGAAAGAGUUUUACCAGGAAAACAGAUGAAGCAAUCCAAAUCUCAACAAUGCCUUGCUGUUCCAAGGGAGUCAGAUUUCAGACUCCCAGCGAAGACAGUCCCUCACAGGUAGCUCCUGCCAUUUUGAAACGCUUAAGCACACCCAAGGACUCUUGUCCCUACUGUCUACCUGAAUUCCUUCCCACUUUCACUGAGCACAUUUUUAUCUAUCUACUGAAACUUCUUAGGUGCUGCCUCUUCCAUGAAUUCUUCCCUUCUCUGUCCUAAUUCUGAAUCCUGUAAAUCCUCCCACAGUUGCCCCAUUCUCUCAGUAUAGUUUAGUUUUAAAGUCUGUCUCUCCCACUUGUCUGAUUACCUUUUCGAUUUUAUUUUUUAAUGGACAGAUUCAUAGUUUGUCUCUGCAUCUACACUGCCUAAUGAAACUAACGAUGAAUUAUUACUAGUGUAAAAUGAAAAGCCUGGCUCUUUUGUUUCCUAAAGGGACCUGCGUCUAGUUGGCCUAGAACAUCCUCUGACGUUAAUUCUGCUGAGAUAUUCCCAUUUUGGUUUAUUCAGUAUCCAUAACUAUCAACAACCAGCCCACAAACUGUCAGCAGCACAGUGGCUGGUGAAAAACAAGUGACGUCAGAAGCGAAGGCGCAUGCGUCUUCCUACAGGUACUGGGCGGUACAGGCAGAGAGGGCUGGCUGUCAGUUCCUUAGUCGUCUGACUCAUGAGCAGAUUACUGAUAACCAAUUUGAACAAUGCCUCUGCUACUCAGGAGACACUGAUUCCGAUGACGAUGAUUGACGAAGCAGGAGCGAGAGCACCCUCCUGAGGUCAGGGACACAAGAAAACUACUGUGAUGCUGAGAAAGCGCCAGUGCUUUACGAUGGCCACCGCUUAAACAGAUGCAACUGCAGGAGGCAAGGUCGUCAGAGCUUGGUAUGGGAUCUGUGUCUCCAGUGUUCAGAAGGAACAAGCAUGGCUGGAAAUAAGACUCUAUGUGUUAUGAAUGUGCAACAGAGCAGUCUCUGGAAAGGCAAAUCCAUGGGGUGCAGAAAAGCGAGACAAAAUAUACUUGAGACAGCUGUUUGCUGUCUUUUCUUGUUUUAA